AUUGAACGCUGGCGGCAGGCUUAACACAUGCAAGUCGAGCGGAGAGAGGUAGCUUGCUACUGAUCUUAGCGGCGGACGGGUGAGUAAUGCUUAGGAAUCUGUCUAUUAGUGGGGGACAACAUUUUGAAAGGAAUGCUAAUACCGCAUACGUCCUAAGAGAGACAGCAGGGGAUCUUCGGACAUUGCGCUAAUAGAUGAGCCUAAGUCGGAUUGGCUAGUUGGUGGGAUAAAGGCCUACCAAGGCGACGAUCUGUAGCGGGUCUGAGAGGAUGAUCCGCCACACUGGGACUGAGACACGGCCCAGACUCCGACGGGAGGCAGCAGUGGGGAAUAUUGGACAAUGGGCGGAAGCCUGAUCCAGCCAUGCCGCGUGUGUGAAGAAGGCCUUAUGGUUGUAAAGCACUUUACGCGAGGAGGAGGCUACUUUAGUUAAUACCUAGAGAUAGUGGACGUUACUCGCAGAAUAAGCACCGGCUAACUCUGUGCCAGCAGCCGCCGUAA
rnacentral:rRNA from 1 species